UACGUAGGGUGCGAGCGUUGUCCGGAAUUAUUGGGCGUAAAGAGCUUGUAGGCGGUCUGUCGCGUCUGCUGUGAAAAUCCGGGCUCAACCCCGGACUUGCAGUGGGUACGGGCAGACUAGAGUGUGGUAGGGGAGACUGGAAUUCCUGGUGAUAGCGGUGAAAUGCGCAGAUAUCAGGAGGAACACCGAUGGCGAAGGCAGGUCUCUGGGCCACUACUGACGCUGAGAAGCGAAAGCAUGGGAGCGAACAGG
rnacentral:rRNA from 1 species